rnacentral:rRNA from 1 species
AUUGAACGCUGGCGGCAGGCCUAACACAUGCAAGUCGAACGAGUGGCGGACGGGUGAGUAAUGUCUGGGAAACUGCCCGAUGGAGGGGGAUAACUACUGGAAACGGUAGCUAAUACCGCAUACCAUCGGAUGUGCCCAGAGGGGAUUAGCUAGUAGGUGGGGUAACGGCUCACCUAGGCGACGAUCCCUAGCUGGUCUGAGAGGAUGACGAGCCACACGGGAACUGAGCAACGGUCCAGACUCCGACGAGAGGCAGCAGUGGGGAAUAUGGCACAAUGGGGGCAAGCUGGAUGCAGCCAUGCCGCGUGUAUGAAGAAGGCCUGCGGGUUGUAAAGUACUUUCAGCGAGGAGGCGUUACUCGCAGAAGAAGCACCGGCUAACUCCGUGCCAGCAGCCGCGGUAAUAC